CCUACGGGAGGCAGCAGUGAGGAAUAUUGGGCAAUGGAGGCAACUCUGACCCAGCCAUGCCGCGUGCAGGAAGAAUGCCCUAUGGGUUGUAAACUGCUUUUAUUUAGGAAUAAACCCUUCUACGUGUAGAAGGCUGAAUGUACUAAACGAAUAAGCACCGGCUAACUCCGUGCCAGCAGCCGCGGUAAUACGGAGGGUGCAAGCGUUAUCCGGAAUCAUUGGGUUUAAAGGGUCCGCAGGCGGACGUAUAAGUCAGUGGUGAAAUCCUGCAGCUUAACUGCAGAACUGCCAUUGAUACUGUACGUCUUGAAUUCGGUCGAAGUGGGCGGAAUGUGUAGUGUAGCGGUGAAAUGCAUAGAUAUUACACAGAACACCGAUAGCGAAGGCAGCUCACUAGGCCUGGAUUGACGCUCAGGGACGAAAGCGUGGGGAUCAAACAGGAUUAGAUACCCUGGUAGUCCACGCUGUAAACGAUGAUUACUCGUUUUCGGCGAUAUACAGUCGGAGACUAAGCGAAAGUGAUAAGUAAUCCACCUGGGGAGUACGAUCGCAAGGUUGAAACUCAAAGGAAUUGACGG
rnacentral:rRNA from 1 species